rnacentral:rRNA from 1 species
GAUGAACGCUAGCGGCAGGCUUAAUACAUGCAAGUCGUGGGGCAGCAUGAGUAGCAAUACUUGAUGGCGACCGGCCAACGGGUGAGGAACACGUACACAACCUUCCUUCAAGCGGGGAAUAGCCCAGAGAAAUUUGGAUUAAUACCCCAUAAUAUAUUUGAUAAGGCAUCUUAUUAAUAUUAAAGCUUCGGCACUUGAUGAUGGGUGUGCGGCUGAUUAGAUAGUUGGCGGGUAACGGCCCACCAAGUCUACGAUCAGUAGCUGAUGUGAGAGCAUGAUCAGCCACACGGGCACUGAGACACGGGCCCGACUCCUACGGGAGGCAGCAGUAAGGAAUAUUGGACAAUGGACGAAAAGUCUGAUCCAGCCAUGCCGCGUGAAGGAUUAAGGUCCUCUGGAUUGUAAACUUCUUUAUAUGGGACGAAAAAAGGGCAUUCUUGUUCACUUGACGGUACACUAAUGAAUAAAGCACCGGCUAAACUCCGUGCCAGCA